UGUCUCUCUCUGUGUCCUGCCAGUGGUUUUACCCUAUGGUAGGUUACGUCAUGCUGUUCUACCACAGGGUAGAACCACGGACAGGAUACCGGGGCACC
rnacentral:pre_miRNA from 1 species